AAUGAACGCUGGCGGCAGGCCUAACACAUGCAAGUCGAACGGAUCCUUCGGGAUUAGUGGCGGACGGGUGAGUAACGCGUGGGAACAUACCCUUUGGUACGGAAUAGCCUCGGGAAACUGGGAGUAAUACCGUAUGUGGUCGAGAGACGAAAGAUUUAUCGCCAAAGGAUUGGCCCGCGUUGGAUUAGGUAGUUGGUGGGGUAAUGGCCUACCAAGCCGACGAUCCAUAGCUGGUUUGAGAGGAUGAUCAGCCACACUGGGACCGAGACACGGCCCAGACUCCUACGGGAGGCAGCAGUGGUGAAUCUUAGACAAUGGGGGAAACCCUGAUCUAGCCAUGCCGCGUGAUCGAUGAAGGCCUUAGGGUUGUAAAGAUCUUUCAGGUGGGAAGAUAAUGACUGUACCACCAGAAGAAGCCCCGGCUAACUCCGUGCCAGCCGCCGCGGUAAAAC
rnacentral:rRNA from 1 species